rnacentral:tmRNA from 1 species
GGGAGCGACUUGGCUUCGACAGGAGUAAGUCUGCUUAGAUGGCAUGUCGCUUUGGGCAAAGCGUAAAAAGCCCAAAUAAAAUUAAACGCAAACAACGUUAAAUUCGCUCCUGCUUACGCUAAAGCUGCGUAAGUUCAGUUGAGCCUGAAAUUUAAGUCAUGCUAUCUAGCUUAAUUUUCGGUCAUUUUUGAUAGUGUAGCCUUGCGUUUGACAAGCGUUGAGGUGAAAUAAAGUCUUAGCCUUGCUUUUGAGUUUUGGAAGAUGAGCGAAGUAGGGUGAAGUAGUCAUCUUUGCUAAGCAUGUAGAGGUCUUUGUGGGAUUAUUUUUGGACAGGGGUUCGAUUCCCCUCGCUUCCACCA